GAGAGCCGAUGAAGGACGUGGGAGGCUGCGAUAUGCCUCGGGGAGCUGUCAACCGAGCGUGGAUCCGAGGAUUUCCGAAUGGGGAAACCCAGCACGAGUGAUGUCGUGCUACCCGCAUCUGAAUAUAUAGGGUGCGGGAGGGAACGCGGGGAAGUGAAACAUCUCAGUACCCGUAGGAGGAGAAAACAAUUGUGAUUCCGCAAGUAGUGGCGAGCGAACGCGGAACAGGCUAAACCGCACGCAUGGGUAACCGGGUAGGGGUUGUGUGUGCGGGGUUGUGGGAGGAUAUGUCUCAGCGCUACCCGGCUGAGAGGCAGUCAGAAAGUGUCGUGGUUAGCGGAAGUGGCCUGGGAUGGUCUGCCGUAGACGGUGAGAGCCCGGUACGCGAAAACCCGGCACCUGCCUAGUAUCAAUUCCCGAGUAGCAGCGGGCCCGUGGAAUCCGCUGUGAAUCCGCCGGGACCACCCGGUAAGCCUAAAUACUCCUCGAUGACCGAUAGCGGAUUAGUACCGUGAGGGAAUGGUGAAAAGUACCCCGGGAGGGGAGUGAAAGAGUACCUGAAACCGUGUGCCUACAAUCCGUCAGAGCCUCCUUUUCCUCUCCGGAGGAGGGUGGUGAUGGCGUGCCUUUUGAAGAAUGAGCCUGCGAGUCAGGGACAUGUCGCAAGGUUAACCCGUGUGGGGUAGCCGCAGCGAAAGCGAGUCUGAAUAGGGCGACCCACACGCGCAUACGCGCGUGUGAAUAGUGGCGUGUUCUGGACCCGAAGCGGAGUGAUCUACCCAUGGCCAGGGUGAAGCGCGGGUAAGACCGCGUGGAGGCCCGAACCCACUUAGGUUGAAGACUGAGGGGAUGAGCUGUGGGUAGGGGUGAAAGGCCAAUCAAACUCCGUGAUAGCUGGUUCUCCCCGAAAUGCAUUUAGGUGCAGCGUUGCG
rnacentral:rRNA from 1 species